GAUGAACGAGGGCGGAGGGAGGACUACAGGAAAGUCGAGCGAACAGACGAGGAGCUUGCUCCUCUGACGUUAGCGGCGGACGGGUGAGUAACACGUGGAGUAAACACCUAUAAGACUGGGAUAACUUCGGGAAACCGGAGCUAAUACCGGAUAAUAUAUUGAACCGCAUGGUUCAAUAGUGAAAGACGGUUUUGCUGUCACUUAUAGAUGGAUCCGCGCCGCAUUAGCUAGUUGGUAAGGUAACGGCUUCCCAAGGCAACGAUGCGUAGCCGACCUGAGAGGGUGUUCGGCCACACUGGAACUGAGACACGGUCCAGACUCCUACGGGAGGCAGCAGUAGGGAAUCUUCCGCAAUGGGCGAAAGCCUGACGGAGCAACGCCGCGUGAGUGAUGAAGGUCUUCGGAUCGUAAACGUCUGUUGUUAGGGAAGAACAAAUGUGUAAGUAACUAUGCACGUCUUGACGGUACCUAAUCAGAAAGCCCCGGCUCCCUACGUC
rnacentral:rRNA from 1 species